rnacentral:rRNA from 1 species
UACGGGGGGGGCAAGCGUUGUUCGGAAUUACUGGGCGUAAAGGGCUCGUAGGUGGCCAACUAAGUCAGACGUGAAAUCCCUCAGCUUAACUGGGGAACUGCGUCUGAUACUGGAUGGCUUGAGAUUGGGAGAGGGAUGCGGAAUUCCAGGUGUAGCGGUGAAAUGCGUAGAUAUCAGGAGGAACACCGGUGGCGAAGGCGGUUCUCUGGGCAUUACCUGACGCUGAGGAGCGAAAGUGUGGGGAGCGAACAGG